CUACGGGUUGCAGCAGUGGGGAAUAUUGCACAAUGGGGGGAACCCUGAUGCAGCAAUGCCGCGUGAAGGAAGACGGUCUUCGGAUUGUAAACUUCUAUCAAUGGUGAAGAAACAAAUGACGGUAGCCGAAUAAGAAGCCCCGGCUAACUAUGUGCCAGCAGCCGCGGUAAUACAUAGGGGGCGAGCGUUAUCCGGAAUUACUGGGUGUAAAGGGUGGGUAGGCGGCAUAAUAAGUCAGGUGUGAAAACCCGGGGCUCAACCCCGGGAUGCCACUUGAAACUAUUAAGCUAGAGUACAGGAGAGGUAAGCGGAAUUCCUAGUGUAGCGGUGAAAUGCGUAGAUAUUAGGAAGAACACCAGUGGCGAAGGCGGCUUACUGGACUGAAACUGACGCUGAGGCACGAAAGCGUGGAGAGCGAACAGGAUUAGAUACCCUUGUAGUC
rnacentral:rRNA from 1 species